rnacentral:rRNA from 1 species
UACAGAGGUCUCAAGCGUUGUUCGGAUUCAUUGGGCGUAAAGGGUGCGUAGGUGGCGCGCUAAGUCGGGUGUGAAAUUUCGGAGCUUAACUCCGAAACUGCAUUCGAUACUGGCGUGCUCGAGGACUGGAGAGGAGACUGGAAUUCAUGGUGUAGCAGUGAAAUGCGUAGAGAUCAUGAGGAAGACCAGUGGCGAAGGCGGGUCUCUGGGCAGUAACUGACGCUGAGGAGCGAAAGCGUGGGGAGCGAACAGG